CGUUAGCAUGGAGGCUAACGGAGCUAGCAGAUUACUGAGGUACAUGUUAUCGGUGGUGUCAGGACUAGCACAGCGGGUUAGCAUUGUGCUAAUGAAACAACACUGUAGGAUGCAUCCAGCAGGUAAUGCUGAAUGAAUUAGCCUGGCUCACAAUCAGUAUUCCAAUUUAUCUCAGUAGUGUUCAUGGACUUAGAGCUCAGGGCUUUAAUUCUCCACACCAAACUAGUCAAACCAGUUCUUUAUGGGCCUUGCUUUCCAAACAGUCAUGCUGGACCAGAAACCAGCCUUUCCAAAACUGUUGCCACAGCACUGUAAGCAUGCAGGUCAACCUGCAACUCUUUUCGAGUAACCGCUGACAUAUCGUCUACAUUUUUUAGCCAUCAAGCAGCCGUCAUGAAAUAGAAUCUCAGAAGAACUGGCCCAGUGUCUGCACAAGUACGACUGGCUGUGUUUGAGGGAGGGAGGGUCAAACAGGGUCUCUCCUGCUGCAAUAUCUCUCCUGCUGAGACUGAUCCGAGUGUCUGUAGGAGUGGGGAUUCUGUACUUUAAAAUGUAAAGUCUGUACUUUUUAUUUGUUUCAUCAAUUUGUAAGUAUGUGUUGUUAUUAUAGGACUAUGUAAUACACAUGUGUGCAAUGGCUGCUUGGCUUGCUGCUGAUGGAGGAUUUGAAAACCACUGGUGGCUAUGGCAUUGGCUCUGUGUGUUCCUGUGCCAAUUUCAGCCUUUUUUAAAUAAAAUCUGAAAAUUUUUCUAGUUCUACAACUCUGUGUCACUCAGAACCAACAAUGUGGGCCGCACUAAUGAUCCUCUGCCAUUGUUCUUAUUUGUAUUGGCAUUGUUAAGGCUUCCAGGCUUUCUCAAUGACUAAAUUACAUU